AGGAUUAUAGUUUAAAAUAAAACAUUUGAUUUGCAUUCAAAAUAUAUUGUCCAUCAAUUUAUCUUA
rnacentral:tRNA from 1 species